rnacentral:lncRNA from 1 species
GGCUGUCACUGGCUGAGUAACUGAAGUAAGUAGAAAUUAACCGCAGUGUACCAAGCAAGCUUACCUUGGCAGCCAGCUUCAACGUUUUGACAAGUAUGAUUGCUCUCAACUGGAGGGUUGCCCCAGUUGCUGUCCUUGUUGCUGAGACCGGAGGGCAGAGUCUGGACAUUGAUCCUGUUUCCACACUCUUCUGGAAGAAGCAAACAUCUUCGAUUAGAGAUGAACACCAGAGUAAGAAGAAAUGUCUCCACACACCAACUCAAAGAAGCGGCAUGGCUCUAAGCACACAUAAAGACGAAUUGCUGAGCUGUACUGGAAGACAGAACAUUUUUCAGUUGUGACCACCUGUCAUUAAAUUUUGCUCUAUAAUUAUUCCAUUA